rnacentral:rRNA from 1 species
CCUACGGGAGGCAGCAGUGAGGAAUAUUGGUCAAUGGGCGCAAGCCUGAACCAGCCAAGUCGCGUGAAGGAUGAAGGAUCUAUGGUUUGUAAACUUCUUUUAGUUGGGAAUAAAAGGGGGCUCGUGAGCCUCGUAUUGUAUGUACUAUCAGAAUAAGGACCGGCUAAUUCCGUGCCAGCAGCCGCGGUAAUACGGAAGGUGCGGGCGUUGUUCGGAUUUGUUGGGUUUAAAGGGAGCGUAGGCCGGCUUGUAAGUCAGCUGUGAAAGUCCACGGCUCAACCGUGGAAUUGCAGGUGAUACUAGAGGCCUUGAGUGCACACAGGGAUGCCAGAAUUCAUGGUGUAGCGGUGAAAUGCUUAGAUAUCAUGAAGAACUCCGAUCGCGAAGGCAAGUGUCCGGCGUGCAACUGACGCUGAGGCUCGAAAGUGCGGGUAUCAAACAGGAUUAGAUACCCCAGUAGUC